rnacentral:rRNA from 1 species
UACGAAGGGGGCUAGCGUUGCUCGGAAUCACUGGGCGUAAAGCGCACGUAGGCGGCUUUUUAAGUCAGAGGUGAAAUCCUGGAGCUCAACUCCAGAACUGCCUUUGAUACUGGAGAGCUUGAGUCCGGGAGAGGUGAGUGGAACUGCGAGUGUAGAGGUGAAAUUCGUAGAUAUUCGCAAGAACACCAGUGGCGAAGGCGGCUCACUGGACCACAACUGACGCUGAGGUGCGAAAGCGUGGGGAGCAAACAGG